AGAAGAUGGGAAUAAGAGGAAUGAAUUUGUGGAGCAGAACAUCAGUAGCAGUAUCCUGAGACUAGAGAAAACUGUUCUUUCCUGUCCCAAGAGGAAAUGAUAGAAGAAGGGCUACAACAAGGUAAUGGUGUGACUGCUAAGUGCUGGAACGUGCUGAAAAGCUGAGCAGUCUUUGGUUUUGACAGCAUUGAGGUAUCUGCUAGAUUCUUGUAACAGAACCUGGGCGGAUGAGCGGUGAGGCAGCUCGAGUAGCAGGCUGUAAGAGAUGUGUAUUUCCUAGUGUUUGGGAAAAAGGCCUCUUAAUGAGGCAGCCUGCUAACUGCAUGCAACAGCUUUCUUGCACUCCACAGUGCUCUAAAACAAUCCCUUGCACAGGACAAAGCCUAUAGCAGUGUGUGGGAGCCCCAGCUCCACGAUCACUACAGCAUGCAGCUUGGAAUUAUGAAAAGGAUGCUGUAUCCUGGUAGAAGUGCUUGUGCUGUCCCGGGUUGUAUCUGCAAAAAAUACUGAUAGUGCUGCUUUUUCAUGUGAAAAAGAUUGCUAUCAAUUAUCAGAGUGAAUACGCACAAGAUAUGUUAUGGUCAACCUACCAGUAAUGGUUUUGGAUUUAUUGCGUCAGUACAGUCUGCAUAUGUGAAAAACAACUGUGUAGAAAAAUUAGAUUUGACUCUUAAUAUUUAGAUUAUAUUAAAUGCAAGAUUUUUAUUUGCUGUUGUUUGGAAAACAAAUAUAGCAAGAUGCCCUACUUCAAAAUGCUGCAUUUAUUUUUUUCUUUCCUUUCAC